rnacentral:rRNA from 1 species
GAUGAACGCUGGCGGCGUGCUUAACACAUGCCAGUCGAACGAAGCAUUUGCGACAGAUUUUUUCGGAAUGAAGUUGCUUAUGACUGAGUGGCGGACGGGUGAGUAACGCGUGGGUAACCUGCCUUGUACUGGGGGAUAGCAGCUGGAAACGGCUGGUAAUACCGCAUAAGCGCACAAUGUUGCAUGACAUGGUGUGAAAAACUCCGGUGGUAUAAGAUGGACCUGCUUCUGAUUAGCUAGUUGGUGAGAUAACAGCCCACCAAGGCGACGAUCAGUGGCCGACCUGAGAGGGUGACCCGCCACAUUGGGGAUGAGACACGGCCCAGACUCCUACGGGAGGCAGCAGAGGGGAAUAUUGCACAAUGGAGGAAACUCUGAUGAAGCGACGCCGGGGGAGUGAAGAAGUAAUUCGUGAUGUAAAGCUCUAUCAGCAGGGAAGAUAGUGACGGUACCUGACUAAGAAGCGCCGGCUAAAUACGUG